GAUGAACGCUAGCGGCAGGCCUAACACAUGCAAGUCGAGGGAGGAGCUUUCGGGCUUCGACCGGCGUACGGGUGCGUAACGCGUAUACAAUCUGCCUUUCACAUAGGGAUAGCCCGAAGAAAUUUGGAUUAAUACCUAAUGGUAUAUAGGAGUGGCAUCACAUUCAUAUUAAAGCUUAGGCGGUGAAAGAUGAGUAUGCGUUCUAUUAGCUAGUUGGAGAGGUAACGGCUCCCCAAGGCGACGAUAGAUAGGGGUUCUGAGAGGGAUAUCCCCCACACUGGUACUGAGAUACGGACCAGUAUGCUACGGGAGGGAGCAGUGAGGAACAUUGGACGAUGGUCGGAAGACUGAUCCAGCCAUGCCGGGUGCAGGAAGACGGCCUUAUGGGUUGUCAGCUGCUUUUGCAGGGGAAGAAUAAGGACUACGAGUAGUUUGAUGACGGUACUCUGCGAAUAAGCAUCGGCUAACUCCGUG
rnacentral:rRNA from 1 species